rnacentral:tRNA from 1 species
GGGGGUGUAGCUCAGGGGUAGAGCGUUUGGCUGCAGAUCAAGAGGGUCCUAGUUCAACUUCUGGGUCCCUCCU